rnacentral:rRNA from 1 species
UACGUAGGGUGCGAGCGUUAAUCGGAAUUACUGGGCGUAAAGUGUGCGCAGGUGGCCGCGCAAGUCGAGUGUGAAAUCCCCGAGCUUAACUUGGGAAUUGCGCUCGAAACUACGUGGCUCGAGUGUGGCAGAGGAAGGUGGAAUUCCACGUGUAGCGGUGAAAUGCGUAGAUAUCUGGAGGAACACCGGUGGCGAAGGCGGCAUCCUGGACCGAGAUUGACGCUGAGGCGCGAAAGCCAGGGGAGCAAACGGG